CACUGGGAGCAGCCCUCCUGCCACAGCUCUUCAUCCCCUGAAAAUGUACAUUUGCACGUUUGUCUCCACCUCCUUCUAGGUCAGGAGAACCUCUAAGCUACUGAGCCCAUCGCUGUCUGCAGUGGUGCUGAAAUGAACAGAGACGCUGACAGAUGAGAGCCUCAGCAGCUUGGCGGCCCCAUGUCCCCUGACUUCACUUACUCUUAGCAGCAGCUUCCAAAACAUUAUACAUAUACAUUUCAGUGCCAUUUCAAGGGACAUCAACACAGCAGCCAAGUUCAUUGGACCUGAGGCUGCCACAGUAGGUGACUGGCUCUGGGGCUGGAAUCAGGACUGUGUUCGGGAGCCUCAUCAUCGGUUAUGCCAGGAACUCUUCUCUGAAGCAACAGGCCUUCUACACCAUUCUGGCCUUUGCCCUCUCAGAGGCGAUGGGGACCUUUGGCCUGAUGGUGGCCUUUCUCAUCCUCUUUACCUUGUGA